GGCUACCUGGCGCAAUGGUAGCGCGUUCGGCUUCGAUCGCCAACGGCUACUAUGUCACGUGACACCGAAAGGCUGCAGGUUCGAGUCCUGCGGUGGUCA